rnacentral:rRNA from 1 species
AUUGAACGCUGGCGGCAUGCUUUACACAUGCAAGUCGAACGGCCGCGCGGGCUUCGGCCUGGCGGCGAGUUGCGAACGGGUGAGUAAUACAUCGGAACGUGCCCAGUAGUGGGGGAUAGCUCGGCGAAAGCCGGAUUAAUACCGCAUACGACCUGAGGGUGAAAGCGGGGGAUCUUCGGACCUCGCGCUAUUGGCGCGGCCGAUGGCAGAUUAGCUAGUUGGUGGGGUAAAGGCCUACCAAGGCGACGAUCUGUAGCUGGUCUGAGAGGACGACCAGCCACACUGGAACUGAGACACGGCCCAGACUCCUACGGGAGGCAGCAGUGGGGAAUUUUGGACAAUGGGCGAAAGCCUGAUCCAGCAAUGCCGCGUGUGUGAUGAAGGCCUUCGGGUUGUAAAGCACUUUUGGCGGGAACGAAAAGGACUGUGCCAAUACCACGGUUCGAUGACGGUACCCGCAGAAUAAGCACCGGCUAACUACGUG